CAUAAAAUAUUCUUCCCAAACACUUAUACAUAACCCUAGCUUUAGCUCCCUCUAUAAUAUAAGGCAGUAUACAUGAGAGCUAUGGCUAUGGCUAUGGCUAUUCCCUAGUGAAGAAAAAGGGUUGGUGAAUUAGGGUUGUGCCCAGCUAAUAUCAUAUCAUAUCAUAAAAAUGGGAGUAUAUGCAUGCCUCCUAAUUUCCCUCUUAUUAAUUCUUCAAACUGUUUGGAUUUCAUCCCUUUCUAAUGCUUCCAAUAAUUCUUUUCAAUAUGAAUCUCUUUCCAACCCUCCUCUUCAAACCCAUCAUCAACAACAACUACUUUUAGUGAAAGAAGGCCGCGGCAAAGAAGAGAAUAAUAAGACGGCGGAGAGUUGGACUGUUUUAAAGGCUAAAGGGGGAAGGUCCGGCGCCGGCGGGGCAGGAGCCAACAACCACCGGCCGGGAAAGGCGAAGAACGCAGCUUCCACUUUGAUGAACUCAAAUAAUAACAUAAUGAUAAUUACCACUUUCCUCCUCUCUUCCUUUUUAUACUUGUUUUAAAUUUUCUUUUUUUCGUUCAUUUCUAUAUGGAAUAAUAUCAAAACCUAUUUAUAUAUACACACACACAUACAUCUUUUUGUUUGAGUAAAUUUUUGUAAUCCCAAACUACCUCAAUUUAUCAAUAUACACGUGUAUAUAUAUAC